UUUCAAUUGUAGACUGAGGGC
ensembl:piRNA 21ur-5503 ncRNA